UACGUAGGCAGCAAGCGUUGUUCGGAGUUACUGGGCGUAAAGAGUGCGUAGGCGGUCCUGUAAGUUUGGUGUGAAAUCUCCCGGCUCAACUGGGAGGGUGCGCCGAAGACUGCAGGGCUUGAGUAUGGGAGAGGUAAGCGGAAUUCCUGGUGUAGCGGUGAAAUGCGUAGAUAUCUGGAGGAACACCCGUGGCUAAGGCGGCUCUCUAGUACGGUACUGACGCUGAGACGCGAAAGCGUGGGGAGCGAACAGG
rnacentral:rRNA from 1 species